GACGAACCGUCCAAGCGUUAUUCGGAAUCACUGGGCUUACAGAGUUCGUAGGCGGUCUGGAAAGUUGGGUGUGAAAUCCCUCGGCUCAACCGAGGAACUGCGCUCAAAACUACCCGACUCGAGGGAGAUAGAGGAAAGCGGAACUGAUGGUGGAGCGGUGAAAUGCGUUGAUAUCAGCAGGAACACCGGUGGCGAAGGCGGCUUUCUGGGUCUUACCUGACGCUGAGGAACGAAAGCUAGGGGAGCGAACGGG
rnacentral:rRNA from 1 species